AAGACUUCUCACACCCCAAAAUUUUUCUCCAAAAAUCUUCUUGCAUGCCCCACUCUUCUCCUUCUUUUAUAACAACGUCAAACAUCUUAUCCAAAAGAAAAGAUAAAGAUGAGUAAUUGCACAUUUGAAUUUAAAUCAAAUUUUGAAUUCAAAUAGACACCAACUCAUCCCUUAUCCACUAAAGGCAUGAGGCAUGGCUUAAAUUAUGCAUGGAGUGAUUUCAUGAGAAACCUUUUCUCAUGUAAUAAAUGAGGCGUAAAAAAAGAGAUGAGGU
rnacentral:lncRNA from 1 species